rnacentral:rRNA from 1 species
AUUGAACGCUGGCGGCAUGCCUUACACAUGCAAGUCGAACGGCAGCACGGGGCAACCUGGUGGCGAGUGGCGAACGGGUGAGUAAUGCAUCGGAACGUGCCAUUGAGUGGGGGAUAACGUAGCGAAAGUUGCGCUAAUACCGCAUAUUCUGUGAGCAGGAAAGCAGGGGACCGCAAGGCCUCGCGCUGACGGAUGAGCCUAAGUCCGAUUAGCUAGUUGGUAGGGUAAAAGCCUACCAAGGCGACGAUCGGUAGCUGGUCUGAGAGGAUGAUCAGCCACACUGGGACUGAGACACGGCCCAGACUCCUACGGGAGGCAGCAGUGGGGAAUAUUGGACAAUGGGCGAAAGCCUGAUCCAGCAAUGCCGCGUGUGUGAAGAAGGCCUGCGGGUUGUAAAGCACUUUCGGUUGGGAAGAAAUCGCAUGGGUUAAU